UACGUAGGGUCCGAGCGUUGUCCGGAGUUACUGGGCGUAAAGCGCGCGCAGGCGGCGGUGCUGGCCCGGCGUGAAAGCCCCCGGCUCAACCGGGGAGAGUCGUCGGGGACCGCACCGCUUGAGGGCGGUAGGGGCUGGUGGAAUGCCUGGUGUAGUGGUGAAAUGCGUAGAGAUCAGGCAGAACACCUGGGGCGAAGGCGGCCAGCUGGGCCGUCCCUGACGCUGAGACGCGAAGGCGUGGGGAGCGAACGGG
rnacentral:rRNA from 1 species